rnacentral:misc_RNA from 1 species
AAGUCGUAACAAGGUUUCCGUAGGUGAACCUGCGGAAGGAUCAUUAACACUUACUGUCUAUUGAUGUUUUUCUAAAACACUCAAUUGACAUGUAUGACAACAAAACCGUGCUCCCUUUUUUUCCCACACCUUUCACCAAUAUUACAUAUCAUGUUUUUAUUAACAGCUUCACUUUUUAAUCAAAGCGAAGUUAGUUGUAAGUAAUGUAAUAGCUAUAUAUGUAACAGUUUGUUGCAUAUAUGUCUAUGACAGACACAAACAACUGUUAACAAUGGAUAUCUAGGCUCUC